UCGAGCGGACCGAUGGGAGCUUGCUCCUUUAGGUUAGCGGCGGACGGCUGUNUAACACGCUGGGCAACCUGCCCUGCAGACUGGGAUAACUUCGGGAAACCGGAGCUAAUACCGGAUAACACCGAAAACCGCAUGGUUUUCGGUUGAAAGGCGGCUUUUAGCUGUCACUGCAGGAUGGGCCCGCGGCGCAUUAGCUAGUUGGUGAGGUAACGGCUCACCAAGGCGACGAUGCGUAGCCGACCUGAGAGGGUGACCGGCCACACUGGGACUGAGACACGGCCCAGACUCCUACGGGAGGCAGCAGUAGGGAAUCUUCCGCAAUGGACGAAAGUCUGACGGAGCAACGCCGCGUGAGCGAAGAAGGUCUUCGGAUCGUAAAGCUCUGUUGUCAGGGAAGAACAAGUGCCGUUCGAACAGGGCGGUACCUUGACGGUACCUGACGAGGAAGCCACGGCUAACUACGUGCCAGCAGCCGCGGUAAU
rnacentral:rRNA from 1 species